rnacentral:rRNA from 1 species
UGGAGGCAGCAGUGAGGAAUUGUUCGCAAUGGGCGCAAGCCUGACGACGCAACGCCGCGUGGAGGACGAAGAUCUUCGGAUCGUAAACUCCUGUCGAGUGGGACGAAAGACCCGGGACCUAACACGUUCCGGGAGUGACGGUACCGCGAGAGGAAGCCCCGGCUAACUCCGUGCCAGCAGCCGCGGUAAUACGGGGGGGGCAAGCGUUGUUCGGAAUUACUGGGCGUAAAGGGCUCGUAGGCGGCCAUCUUAGUCUGACGUGAAAUCCCUCGGCUCAACCGAGGAACUGCGUCGGAUACUGGAUGGCUCGAAUCUGGGAGAGGGAUGCGGAAUUCCAGGUGUAGCGGUGAAAUGCGUAGAUAUCUGGAGGAACACCGGUGGCGAAGGCGGCAUCCUGGACCGGUAUUGACGCUGAGGAGCGAAAGCCAGGGGAGCAAACGGGAUUAGAUACCCUGGUAGA